AUUGAACGCUGGCGGCAGGCCUAACACAUGCAAGUCGAGCGGGGUUUUCGGACCUAGCGGCGGACGGGUGAGUAAUGCGUAGGAAGCUACCCGAUAGAGGGGGAUACCAGUUGGAAACGACUGUUAAUACCGCAUAAUGUCUACGGACCAAAGUGUGGGACCUUCGGGCCACAUGCUAUCGGAUGCGCCUACGUGGGAUUAGCUAGUUGGUGGGGUAAUGGCUCACCAAGGCGACGAUCCCUAGCUGGUUUGAGAGGAUGAUCAGCCACACUGGAACUGGGACACGGUCCGGGCUCCUACGGGAGGCCGCAGUGGGGAAUAUUGUACAAUGGGCGCAAGCCUGAUCCAGCCAUGCAGCGUGUGUGAAGAAGGCCUUCGGGUUGUAAAGCACUUUCAGUAGGGAGGAAGCGUUGUGUGUUAAUAGUACACAGCGUUGACGUUACCUACAGAAGAAGCACCGGCUAACUCUGUGCCAGCCGCCGCCGUAACAC
rnacentral:rRNA from 1 species